rnacentral:rRNA from 1 species
GACGAACCGAGCGAACGUUGUUCGGAAUCACUGGGCUUAAAGGGCGCGUAGGCGGGUGCUCAAGUCUGUGGUGAAAUCCUCCGGCUCAACCGGAGAACUGCCAUGGAUACUGGGUGCCUCGAGGGUGGUAGGGGUAUGCGGAACUAUCGGUGGAGCGGUGAAAUGCGUUGAUAUCGAUAGGAACUCCGGUGGCGAAGGCGGGACUCUGGGCCGAUACUGACGCUGAGGAGCGAAAGCGUGGGGAGCAAACAGG